GCAUGGCUGUCGUCAGCUCGUGUCGUGAGAUGUCGGUUAAGUCCGCUAACGAGCGCAACCCUCGUCGUAUGUUAUAUGUGUCAUACGAGACUGCCGGUAAAAAGCCGGAGGAAGGUGAGGAUGAUGUCAAGUCAGCAUGACCUUUAUAUCCAGGGCUACACACACGCUACAAUGGUCUGUACAAUGGGUAGCCAAGCCGCGAGGCGGAGCCAAUCCUGAAAGCAGGCCUCAGUUCAGAUUGCAGUCUGCAACUCGACUGCAUGAAGCCGGAGUUGCUAGUAACCGCAGGUCAGCAAUACUGCGGUGAAUACGUCCCCGGGUCUU
rnacentral:rRNA from 1 species